rnacentral:rRNA from 1 species
UACGUAGGGUGCAAGCGUUGUCCGGAAUUAUUGGGCGUAAAGAGCUCGUAGGCGGCCUGUUACGUCUGCUGUGAAAUCCCGGGGCUUAACCCCGAGCCUGCUUCUGAUACGGGCAGACUAGAGGUAUGCAGGGGAGAACGGAAUUCCUGGUGUAGCGGUGAAAUGCGCAGAUAUCAGGAGGAACACCGGUGGCGAAGGCGGUUCUCUGGGCAUUACCUGACGCUGAGGAGCGAAAGUGUGGGGAGCGAACAGG